GACGAACCGUGCGAACGUUGUUCGGAAUCACUGGGCUUAAAAGGCGCGUAGGCGGCCCAUCAAGUCAGGGGGGAAAGCUUCCGGCUCAACCGGAAAAGUGCCUUUUAUACUGGUGGGCUUGAGGGAGGCAAGAGCAGAUGGAACUACCGGUGGAGCGUUGAGAUGUGGUGAUAUCGGAAGGAACGCCGGUUGCGAAAGUGAUCUGCUGGAUCUCUACUGACGCUGGGGCGCGAAAGCUAGGAUAGCGAACGGG
rnacentral:rRNA from 1 species